rnacentral:lncRNA from 1 species
GGGCUGAGCUUGUACACCACAGAAAGAGAUCUAAGAGAAGUGUUCUCUAAAUAUGGUCCCAUUGCCGAUGUGUCUAUUGUAUAUGACCAGCAGUCUAGGCGUUCAAGAGGAUUUGCCUUUGUAUAUUUUGAAAAUGUAGAUGAUGCCAAGGAAGCUAAAGAACGUGCCAAUGGAAUGGAGCUUGAUGGGCGUAGGAUCAGAGUUGAUUUCUCUAUAACAAAAAGACCACAUACGCCAACACCAGGAAUUUACAUGGGGAGACCUACCUAUGGCAGCUCUCGCCGUCGGGAUUACUAUGACAGAGGAUAUGAUCGGGGCUAUGAUGAUCGGGACUACUAUAGCAGAUCAUACAGAGGAGGAGGUGGAGGAGGAGGAGGAUGGAGAGCUGCCCAAGACAGGGAUCAGAUUUAUAGGCGGUCACCUUCUCCUUACUAUAGUCGUGGAGGAUACAGAUCACGUUCCAGAUCUCGAUCAUACUCACCUCGUCGCUAUUAAAGCAUGAAGACUUUCUGAAACCUGCCCUAGAGCUGGGAUAUUGUUUGUGGGCAAUAUUUUUUAUUGUCUCUUGUUUAAAAAGUGAACAGUGCCUAGUGAAGUUAGGUGACUUUUACACCUUUUACGAUGACUACUUUUGGUGGAGUUGAAAUGCUGUUUUCAUUCUGCAUUUGUGUAGUUUGGUGCUUUGUUCCAAGUUAAGUGUUUUCAGAAAAGUAUGUUUUGCAUGUAUUUUUUUACAGUCUAAAUUUUGACUGCUGAGAAGUUUCUAUUGUACAAAACUUCAUUUAAAAGGUUUUUCUACUGAAUCCAGGGUAUUCUGAAGAUCGAAGCCUGUGUAAAAUGCUACCAAAUGGCAAAAAGCAACAAUAAACAGUUUGAUUUUU